GAGGGAAAUGCAAUAGCUUGUCUUCAUUAAUUACUCUGGUAAACUAAAACGUCUGGCCCAUCAUUGGAAAAUGUCUUCUUUGCUUUGAGAGCUACAUCAUCAUGGUAAAUCGAACCGUCAUUUUUUGUCUCAAAAUAUGGCGUUUGUUCUUUAAGUGUAACAUCAUUGUGAUAUAUAGAUAGAUCAAGCCUCGGAUCAAACUCCUUUUUGAGACCUGCAUCAUUAUGGUGAUUUGUAAAAUCAUGUUUUGUCUCAAAAUAUAGCUUAUGUGCUUCAAGAUUGGCAUGGUUGUGGUUUUCAGUUGUGCGACAAUCGGCUUUCUCUUUUGUGGAGGUAGAAGCUUCAACGAGUGCUUGUAAUGCUUCUGGCAGUGGCUGAUCUUUCAUUUCCCUACUCCAAUAUUCACCCACAUCUUUUCUUGCAUUGACAGUGCUUGAGAACUGCAAAAUAAAAAUAAUAAAACUCACUCGUCAGUUUAUUUAAGAAAAAUAAAACUUAUAUCAUUAAUGGGUUUCAAUUAGCUAAUCUUCAUUGAUCCAUUAAUGUAUUUAAACACACAUACACAUUAAGAACAGACUUUUUUCUUUUUUUUUUUUUUUUUUUUUGAAAUUUCAUUACUAAUUAACAGACUAUUACUAACCAAGAUAAGUAAGAAGAUAGAGAGGAAAGCAAAAAGCAAUUUCAUCUUUUUUGCAGAGAAGAAAUUAGACAAUGUGUAGUGUUAUUUGAGUGGAUAUCCGUCGUCCCUGAUAUCGUCACUAUUUAUAGCCAAAAUCAAAGAAUGCAAAAAUAUAAAGAAAUUAUUAUGUAAGGUGCAAAUAAGGUGACCUCUCAUUUCAUAUUGUCCUUCUUGUCGUAAUACGACAAAUAAAUAUCAUAAUCUUGGGAGGUACCCAAAUCGUGUAUUAGGUACCCAAAUAACAUACGACGUAAUUACUAUAUGUAAUCUCUAGGUUUUAUUCAAAUAUACUAAUAAAACUUUAGUUUCUAAAAUUAUACUACGAAGUCUUUACAUUAUAAUUUCGUUACACUAUAGAGUCUAAUUAUUAGUUUUUUCGUUAAGUGACUGUAAAAUAUUAAAAGCACCCCUAAACAUAAUUAGUAUAUAAUCCUUACUAUUAGGUGAAAUACACUAAUAAAGACAUUAUUUUUCAUACCUUUACAUUAUUUAAUCCCUAUAUAUAGUAAUUGUGUUUAGGGUUAUUUUUAAUAUUCCACAACAAUUUAAUAAAAAAAAAACUAACCGCUGGACCUUAUAGUAUAAUAGAAUUAUAAUGCUGAGAUUAAAUAGUGUAAUUUUAAAAAUGAAAGUCUUUACUAAUGUAUUUGAUAUAAACCUAGGAACUAUAUAGUAAUUAACACAUAACAUAAUCUUAGGCUAAUUACUGUUUAGUCUUAUAUUAUAAUCAAAUAUAUAAAUUAGGAAUUUAGUUUUUUCAAAAUUCUAUUUUUUUUUCCUACCCUAAAACUUUUGCGAGUACAAGAUUAGUACAUUAUGAAUACUGGAAUAGAUUUGAGGUCAUUAAAAAGUACAAUUUUAUAAAUUAAAGUAUUCUAACAGGUAGAAGUGAACUUUAAAGGUUUGAAAUAUAUAUAUAUAUAUAUAUUUAAACAUCAGUAAAAAUUGAAUUUAAGAUAUUUUGAUUCCAAAACUCAACGCUUUAAUCACUUGGCUAAAAUACAUUUAGUUUAACUGUUUGUACUUGCUGAUAUCGGUUGUUUAUAAUUGCUAGUUCGUGGCUGAUAGUUAUUAAUUGAUAAUGUAUAGUUUUUUUUAUAUUACUCUCAUAUACAAUAUAUGUUAUUUUUUAAGGUAAAUAUAUUAUUUUUUUUAUUUUAACAAAAUCAUACACCUGUGCAUUGCUCAAAUUAUAGUAUAGUCUUUUAUUGAAAAUAUUAAAUACUUUAUUUAUUAAUAAUUUAUGAUAUAAUUACACUCCUAAAAAAUAAUUUAUUUUGUCAUUCUAGCAUGGUAACUUUGCAUCUUUGCGGAUUUAAAUGAUAAUCUAGUUCUUUGCAUUUAACCCCAAAAUAAUCACAUGAAAAGGAAAAAAAAAAAAAAAAUCUUUUGAAAAGGUUGUUUGCUUGUGGAUUUCAUUUCCCUCUGUAUUCUAUUUUUGCUUUUGGUUUUCAGUAUUUCAUACCCUUUUUUGGUUUGUAAAUUUGGUUUAUUGUUGUAGAUCAACAUUUUCUUUUUCUGGUUGAAAAUUGAUGAAAUCUAUGUGUUUCUCCAAUAUUACAUGGUUAGCAAUAGCAACUUAGCAUACAGAGCAAUCCAUGUUAGUAAAUAAUUAGCUAGCUUUCUAAAUAUUUCAAGAAUAAAAUCAUAUAUUUUCAAUAUUUAUUUUGCAUUCCCAAUUCUAAAGAUACAACUAAAGUGAUGCAAACAUAUAUAGAAACAUAUGAUGCAAGAGAAACUGCUUACAUAGCUUCAACACACGAAGUCCGUUAUUCAAGUACAUCACAAAUCAUAUUCUAAUUUGAAAUGCAACAAACAUAAUGGUUCUCUCAUGAGGGAAAUGCAAUAGCUUGUCUUUAUUAAUUACUCUGGUAAAUUAACAUGUCUGGCCUAUCAUUGGAAAAUGUCUUCUUUGCUUUGAGAGCUACAUCAUCAUGGUAAAUUGAAGCGUCAUUUUUUGUCUCAAAAUAUGGCGUUUGUUCUUUGAGUGUGACAUCAUUUUGAUAUAUAGACAGAUCAAGCCUCGGAUCAAACUCCUUUUUGAGACCUGCAUCAUUAUGGUGAUUUGUAAAAUCAUUUUUUGUCUCAAAAUAUAGCUUAUGUGCUUUAAGUGUGGCAUGGUUGUGGUUUUCAGUUGUGCGAAAAUCGGCUUUGUCUUUUGUGGAGGUAGAAGCUUCAACAAGUGCUUGUAAUGCUUCUGGCGGUGGCUGAUCUUUCAUUUCCCUACUCCAAUAUUCACCCACAUCUUUUCUUGCAUUGACAGUGCUUGAG
rnacentral:lncRNA from 1 species